UACGUAGGGGGCGAGCGUUGUCCGGAUUUAUUGGGCGUAAAGAGCUCGUAGGCGGUUCGGUAAGUCGGAUGUGAAAUCUCCACGCUCAACGUGGAGGGGCCAUUCGAUACUGCCGUGACUCGAGUCCGGUAGGGGAGUGUGGAAUUCCCGGUGUAGCGGUGAAAUGCGCAGAGAUCGGGAGGAACACCCGUGGCGAAGGCGGUUCUCUGGGCAUUACCUGACGCUGAGGAGCGAAAGUGUGGGGAGCGAACAGG
rnacentral:rRNA from 1 species